GGGGGCGCCGGUGCGCUCCCCCCACUCCCGGCUGCACUGGCUUUCCGGGCCGGACUACGGGGCGGGCGUGAGCGAGUAGUGUGGGGUCGCAGGGUUCAGGGAGGCGGGAGGAGGGCAGAGGAGAGGGCCGGGGUGGGGCGCCUCUGCCCGCCGCCAGCCACUCCCGCAUUAAAAUUUCAUGGGCGCUGCAGCAGCUACAAAGACGACGCCGGCUGCGCUGGGGACCAGAGGGAGGGAGGCUGCGGACGAGUGCGGGGAGGAGUUUGCGAGGGGAGGCGCUUGCGGGGGCUCCCCCAGUUCUGCGCUGGGAGCCGGGGCACAAAGAGCCCUCCGCACUCCAGCCGCAGGACCGCGGACCCCAGGUGAGCCACGGCCCCGUGCUCACAGCCCCGGCUCGCCGGUAGCCUUGUCCCCGCUCGGGAGCAGCCCAUUGCUCCGAGGUUGGCGACGACGGUAGGUCCCAGUGUCCCAGGGCAGGGCUCAGGAAAGCGCCCCGCAUCGCCCAGCCCGCAAUUGUCAAAAGCAGUCAAGACUCUGGCCCGGACGUGUGGUUCCCAGAGGCCGGAGUCCAGAAACCACCCCUGUGGAGAAGAACGACGUUGUUUACGGUGAAGGUAAUUCAUCAGCCCAGGCAGCGGUUUCUCUACCACAACAGUCCCACGAGGCGCUGGAGGGAUGUCCCUGCUUAGCCAUUGCUUCCAGACAAGUUCAUAUGGCCGAAGUGUCAUCUGAGAGGUACCCGAGGUCAUGCUCCUUCUCCUCUGUGUACACCAGGACGUAGAGGCCAGCUUCAUGCUAUGCCAUCAGGUUCACCUCGAAGUCCAACAUGCUGAGCCCUCCUGGAUAUCAGAGGCCCAGGGGAAGGGGUCAAAAAAUUCUCCACUGAGCAGCCCAGGGUCUGUUGGCAGAGUUGCAACAAGUUCCUGGGACAGAGAAGCGAGAAGGAAAUUUCCAGGUUCUUCAAGGCAGUCCUGGCCACACAGGAAAGCAGCCUUGCAGAUAAGUAUUCAAAUUUACCUGCCUGUGGCCCAUCAGCCUGUCCUCAGCCAGGGCUCCUUGGCCUCAGCACUGUUCCCUGUGGGACACAUUCUUUUUAGUGCAAGGCUCCAAGUGUGUCUCUAGCUUUAGCCAGGUACUGACAGCAAGCUCUGACAGUUAUGUUGAGAGGGUGGGUCCCUGACUGCCUGGCUCCGAUCUGCAGGCUGAUGAAGAUGGCACAGCUGACCAAAAGCAAACCUGGGUUAGGAUUCAGGGGCAUCCUCUGGCCUUCUCCAGACUGGUGUCAUAGGCUGGUCUCAAAAGAGUUCUAUCCCACCCUCUUCUGGGGUCCCCUAGUCUCCUCAAGUACCCGGGGUAUCAGGAAAGGGAUGGGAAGGGUGAGGCUGGGCGGACAGGUCCCUCUUGUUUUCCACCUAGUGCCUCAAAUGACAGUCACUAUUAGGCACUGGAAGGAUCCCAGGGCCCAGAGAUAGGGAUGACACAGAUUUCCUAGGGCCACAGUAUGGCAAGUGCAGGGCUGGGACAGAACUGCAGAUUCCUGCCUCUGUCCAAUGCUCUUACUUAGCAGUCCCCAAGCUGCCUUGUUUGGCCUACUUCUUCUGGGUCACACUCUGCUCUUGGGGAGCAGGGAGGUUGCUGGGGCUACCGGGCCUCCGUAUCCCUGGGCUGGGGUGGGGACCUGGGUGUGGUUCUCUCCUGCGGCCUGGGUGGCUCUUCUAUCUUCCAGGAUGGCCCUGUGUGGGGUCUCUGUGCAGAAGGAGCUGGGAGCUGGGCUUGGGCCACCAACAUGUUGGCUGGAGGCUGCAGUGGACACUGGGAUCCAGAGGUGAACACCAGACACGCAGUCCCCUUGUCUUGGCUCUUCAUGUAGAAACAUACGUCCCCACAGUUCGGCGAGGAGGUCACAUUGCCCCCUGCACAGCCCCAGGAUUCCUGACUUGCUCUGCUCUGGGGAGCUGGGUGAAUGGAUUCUGGCUGCAGGAACCUGGAGCAGCCUUCGGUGGCCCCACCUCUGAAGACAUCAUCCUUCCCAGCGCUUGUGGGAGUCUUCUGAAAAGAGCUGCUCUGGGCAGAUUCCUGGGCUGGUGUGAGCUCCAGGAGUGUGGAGAGGCCGAAGCUCUCCACCUGCUCCUCCUGCUGGGCCCAAGCGUCUGAGGCUGGAGGCCGCUUCCUUACCCCGUACAGACUGCAUGCCUCCUCUGGGUCCCCUGUGACCACAGCUCUGCCUGGGCAAGCCCUUUCCUGGGUACACCCCCUAGCGCCGGGUCGCAACAAAGAUGAAGUUGGGGAGGGACUGCCAGUGCAGGGUAGACUUGGCUUCUGGGGGACCCAGCAGAGUCUUCUAUCUUUUGUCAUUUUGGGGGGCUUCCUGGGUGAGGCUUCUCCAUGUCUCUUUUUCCCUGAUGGCUCCAGAGGCAGGUGGUCAGGGCCUCGGAGGAUCUAGGGCCUUUCCCCAGUGGUGUCCAGAUCUAGGCGGUAAUGGUGGGGCAUGGGGCAGGGCACUGUCUUAAAAAGAAAAGGGGUAGACAGGAGGAUGCUGGGGCCAGGGAGGCUCACUAGACACAAACUGACAGCCUUGGUCUCACUCCUGCCAUCCAAAGAGAAUCCACACCCCCCAAAGCUGGGAGGCCCACCUGAACCCAAGCUCAGGACAGGUGCUAAGCAGUCAGCUCCUUAGUCCUCAUGUGUGCUCCUGGAUUCUGUCUUUGGGAGCAGAGGCCAGCAGGACAGGUCCAUGUGCACCCCUCCCAUACGCAGUUUCCCCGUACACCGACCCUUUCAUCCCUCCACAGAGGGGACAGUCCCACUGCUUCAGAAGAUUAGUUUGUGGCUUUCCUAAGACCAGUUUAAAAGCCAGAAGUCCUUUCCCUGGGGAAGGGGAGGUAGUGGGUGUUCAUCAGCUCAGCAGAAUACUGUUACAGCAGAAUACUGAGGACAGACUGCAGGGCUUCAGUGCCCAGGAUCUAUUUCUCAUGCUUCAGGAGACCAGAAAGUCCAAGACCCAGGUGCUAGGGUUGGCUUCUGGUGAGGCCCCUGCAGAUGGCACCUUCUACUGUGUCCGUACAUGGCCUUUUCUCUGUGGCGCUUUGGUGACUGUCUAUAUAAGGACACCAGUCCUGUGGUACCAGGGACCCAGGCUCAUGACCUCAUUUAACUUCAGUCACAUCCUGGAAGGUCCUGUGUCCACAUACAGCCCCAGGCGGGGUUAGAGAUCCAGCCUGUGCACUUUGGGGAACACAGUUCAGUCGGUGGCAGGGCAGUCACCGCAAACACGGAAAGCUGGUGCUGUGACCCCUCCAGAACCCCAGCCUACAGGAAGAGGAAGAACAAGUGAAUGGAAAAUAGAGCAGGGGGUGGCAGAUGUGGGCCCAGGGUGGGUCAAGGUUCCUCUGGGGAUUGCAGAACUGGCUGAAGCCUGUGCAGAGAUCCCAGUCCAGAAAGAGCCUGCACUUUGAAGCCAGGUCAGGUCUCAGGUGCGCCCUCUGCUGUACAGCUCUGGGAAGCUCCCCCUGCCACCAUGAACCUUCACUCCCCCUGAAACGGGGACCAGUCACAGGGGUCCUAGUGAGCAGGUGCAGGGAGCAUCUAGAGAGGUAAUGUGCCUGGCACAGUGCUGGUGCUUAGUCGGUGCUCAGUAAACACUUCCACCUAACUGGGAGUUUAGAUUUAACUCCGUUUUGGCACCUUCUGAGCCAGAGGUGUUUCUGACUAGCCCUUCCCCUGGCUGCUGUCUUAACAGCCCUUUCUAAUGAGGUUAGGGAAGAGGUCAAUUCUACUCAUCAGAAUUGAGCGCCUACUUGGAGUUCACUCAUGUACCGGCCACUUGGGGAAAAUAAGUGCAGAUCCAGCCAUGGUUCAAACCUUUAGUAUUACACAGCCACAGCAAGUGGGAGGAAGCCAGCUCACAUGGAGAACUGGAGAACGGGGGCAAUGCCUAGAGCAGUCUGGAGAGGCUUUCUAGCAAGGCUGAGCCAACAAGGGCCUUGGAGGGUGGGAAAGCUGUGGCUUAGCCCAGAGCUUCUAGGGAGAAACCAGAUCAAGAUUCUCAAAGUAAGGUCAGGUAGCGAAGGACUUAUCAGAGCCUUUGAAAUGCUCAUGGGGAGUUCAAAUACUCAGGGGCAGGAUAGAGGGUGAUGUGUGUCUUGGCUUUUCUGGUCCCAGAAUCCUUUUCUCACCGAGCAUCACUUAGAACCGUGGGAGAUGCAAGGCUGGGUUUUCUGUAGGGAGCGUUUGUUGGUGAGAGAAGGUGGUGUGACUAGGUGCUGUGUGGCAUUGGCUGGAAAGGAAGCAGACCAGGGAGGGAGGGAGGAGAGUCUAAACCUGGCUCCACACCGGGCCAGCUCUACGCAGUUUGUGGGAAGGAGGGGAGGGCAGGCUAGUCGUGAUGGGUGUCAUGUCCACCAGGCAUGGAGGCUCUGGGGAUCACGUGUGUGUGUGUGUGUGUGUGUGUGUGUGUGUGUGUGUGUACAUGCAUGCCUGAGUGAAAGGACCCAGCCCUCUGGGAUGGGCCUGACCAGAACCAGGCAGGGGGUUUCCACCCAGGAAAAGCAGCAUCCCUCUCUAGGGGACCCGAAGUGUUUGUGGGGGAGGCAGGGCUCUGAGACCCACACCAAGAUCAGAAGUAUAAGGCAGGGCCCAAGUGGCCAGGCUAAGUUCUGGCCAGACUGAGGGGCGCAGAGGUGGAUCCCCUGCCCUGGUCAGGCUCCACACUUGGGGUGCAGAUGGAGCUGGUGGACAGGAGGUCCCAAGCCCCAGCUGGGGGCCGGGCAGCGUUGCAUGGUGUGAUUAACCUACUAACCCAGGGCUCGGCCGGGACGCUGUGGCGUGUGACGAGGCGCCUAGCCUUCAGCCAACCGACUAACCCACUAACCAGGCCCAAGCAUGCCCUACUAACCCCCCCGCAGCCAGACCCUACUAACUGCAGCUCAUGGGCCUUCGCAGCGGCUGUGCCGUGGGGGCAGACAAGGGUCCGGAGGGCCCGGCCUGGGCUGGGAUCUCUGUGCAGAUGCUCACUGCAGACGGGGCACGCGCAUGACUUAGCAAUCGGCCACUUCCAGUGGGGGGACUCUCAGCAAGUCACCUCUUUUCUGUACCCGUUUCCUAGGUGGAGACAGGGAGUACUGAUUCUUACCUCACUGGCUGCAGUGAGAAUUCUCACCCUCAUGAAGGUCUUGGCGGACACUUUAAAAAAGAGAAGGGAUGGGUGGGGGCAGAAACUCAGCUGGCAGCAGCCGCCACCCGCCCCUAGUCUUCCUGGGUAUUCUGCACACAGACCCUUCUGCCUGGGGCCAGACACUUGCUUUGAAUCCCUAACUGUGUCUCCUCCACAUUCUUCCUCCCUGUCAGCUUUCUUUUCCGUAGGCGGCUCUCUUGUCCGAUUACUAACUUGUCUAACCUGGGGGCACCUCACCUGCGCCCCGCCAUCCCUUAACACACUAAUGGGCCUGCGUGCGUUCUUCCUUCUCUCCUAGCGACUCCUGUGUGUGUCUGCCAAGGCACCCCCAUCGCUGGUGCUGUGCUGACUUACUAACCCAGCCCUACUAACUCUAUUUUCUCUUCUUACUAACCCAGCCCUGCCGAGCUCUGGGUCCCUCUGGGGGCUGGUCCCUCUCCUUUUGGCAAGCAGAAGUCCCUGGGCUGGCCCUGCAGACCGACAUCCCAGAUUGGCUGCUUGUGAGAUCAGAGACCACUGGGCCAGGUCUAAGGCAGGGGACGGCCUUAUUAACAACACCCAGAGGAGGAGGAGGUGGCUCUGCGGAUGCGGCAGGCUGGACUCUGAGCAUGACCUCGCUCCUCUGUGCACAAGGCUGGUUGCCACUGGGAGUGGGCAGGGCCAGGGCAUCCUCUGGGGUGUGAGUGUGGAGGCCAGUGGGUCUACAGUGGCAGUUCUGGGCUUUCCCCAGCCAGAGGAGCAGAAAAAAGGGGCUGUGCUUCCUUCCCUGGAAGGAAUGUUCUUCACUGGAAAGGGGUAGAGACAGAAGCCAUUCUGGAAAGAAAGUCAAAUGGGGCGUGUCCCCAGAAGGAACUUGGUUUAGGGACCCUACCCCACACCGGAAGUCAGUCUGCAGAGCCUUUCCCAAGUAGGAAGUCAAUAAAGAGGUCUUUCCUACACUGAAAAAUCAUUGAGGAGAGCAUUUAGUACACAAGAAACCAGCUACAGAGGCAUUCUCCAUGCUUGAAGCUGAGAAAAGGGGCUUCUGACUCCUGAAGUCAGUGAAAGGGGCUUUCCCUUAGCGCUAGGCACUGAGAAAGGAUGGCCAAUAAAUCAGUGAGAAGGCCCUUUCCCAUACAGGAAGUUGCCUAGAGGGGUUUCUACAUCAAGAGGUGGAAUAGGCCCGAAACUCGUGCCGGAAGUAGAUGGGGGCCUUAGACCCUCUCACACCCAGAAGCUAGGGGUUGUCUGUACCUGUGUCGCAAAGGCAGUGAGGAAGGCACCUGUACAAGAGCUGGGGGGUCGCCGGGAAGAGGAAGUGGGGAGCAGGACACGCAUCCCAGGGGCCCACAGGCUGGCCAGGAAGUCACCCCUCACUCCCCAUCCUGUCCACGCCCCUGCCCCUGCCCGGCCAGCCUCCCCCAGAGCCCGCCAGUCGCUAAGCCAGGGCCACACCUGGGGGUGACUUCAUGCCUCACCUCCAGUAGGCACCUUGGCCUCUCUGGGCUAAUCUCUGGCUCCCUUGCACUAAUUUUUGCUCUACCCAGCUAAUCCCUGCCUCGCCCUGGCUGCCCCAGGGGGCUGGCCAUUAACAGCCAACCCCACCCAUCUGGGGACUCCAGGCUCCCCGCCUGGCUUUGGCAGGCUCUUAAUUAACCUCUCCUUCCCCUCGACUAACUCCUGUCUUCCUGGUCUGUUCCUUUCAGCAGAAACUAAUGGCUUGUGGAUUUCUUUCUGACUAACAACAGGUGUAACAGUCCUUGUCACUAUUAUUAUUAACAGCUUGGUUGGCAGCAUGGCUGGGGAGGGUUUGGAAUCUGACUAACAGGGAGAGGUGUAGCUAGUGAUGUCAGACUUGCUGGAUGCUCUCGGUCAGAGCAGUCAGAUGUCAGUAAUGGUCAUAGGUCUUAAAAAGAGGUACCAAGGGUAGGGUGUGGCCCAGGCCUAAUGGAGGGCUGGUCCCUGCUGAGGUGAUGUCUGACCGAGAGUCAGACUUCCAAAGUUUUGACCAAUAGACAUAGCCUCUUCUUUGCAUUUGCUUUGGCUCUUUUAAACAAUAAUCUCAUAGUCCACACAAGCUGAUGUAAUUUAUGAACCUUUACAUGCCUGUCUGGUGUGUGCAGAGAAUAUGACAUUAUGUGUAGAAUCACCAGCCAUCAGGUCAGGGCCCAGAGUCCCUGUUUUGGGUAUGUCAGAGUUUUGGUAACCCUAGAACAGAUAGAAAUAUUCAGGAGUAUAAAUCUGUCAGCCCUUUACAUCUUAGUGUAACGUAGCUUGGCUUCUUCUAAUUUCUAACUCUUCUAAUGUAAGUCUUUAAUGCAGUCUAGUUGCAUUGAGGAUCUCUUUACUGCUGGAGGAAGUCUUGCUGGCAGCAGAGCGGAGGAGGCCUAUGGAGUGGCCAGGGGGUGCCAGGGUGCGCUAAGAGGUGGCACAGGGUGAGGGGGUAAUGGGAAGGGUGACUUGUUCUGCUGGCUCAGCUGGGUAGUCGGAGUCUAUGGGAGAGCACAGAUCAGGGUCUGGAGGACUGGAUUGCUCAGGAGGAGUUUCAGUGGCUGGCUGGGAGGCCUCAUGGAUAGUAGUUUGGGUCAGGGCGUGCUGUGAGAGCCCUCUCUGCCAUGGCCACGGGCUCAGAGCUGACCACGCAGAGCUGGCAGUGUGAUCUGAAGUGUGGUCCAGACGCCUGAGCUACAGAGGAAAGAAGAGAGGAGAGCACCCCCUGGAGGAGUCUGGAGAAAGGGCAGGGUGGAAGACCCUGAGCCUGGGAAGCAGCUGCCUGCUCCCCUCUAGAGGCCGCCGGGUCCCAUGUCACUCAAACACUCAUUCAAUACUCCCAUAUUGGAACUCCUCUGUAUUCAAGUAGUAAGAUUUGAGGCUGUUGGGGACCCCCGUGUGCCCAGCACUGCUCUGGGCCUGUCAUCAGAGUGCUUGUACAGAUUGGUAGGCAUGGGGCGCCGUGUGGGGAUCUCACACUGGCUGGUGGCUAGGGGCUUUCACUGAGCUUGGGGCCCGGGUGCAGAGGUAGGAUGGGAUCAGGGGCUCCUCAGUGUAGCAUGCAGGGUGGGCUUGCUGAAGAGGGGCAGUGUAAGCGGAACCCUGGCUGUUGGUAGGUGGAUGGAGUGAGUUCCGGACAGUGGGAAUGGCAGAUGCAGUCCUCUGGGGGUUGCAGAGGAUUCAAAGAGAGUCUGGAAGGUCCCUGGGGAAGGUGGCAAGAGAGAGAUGGUGACAUGGACAAGCACUGGGCCUUGUGGCCAGGGAACUUGGACGUGGUGCCUUGGGGAGCUGUGUGGAUGUGGCCUGAGAAAGGCAGAGGUGGGAAUGGGGCUUCAGUCUUCCAAGGCCAUUUGUUUGUUCCAGCCCAGUUGGAACUCUGGAGCUUGUAAUGAGUUAUGGCUACAUUUCAUACAGCUGAUUGUAUAGAAAUUUUGGAAACCAGCAGGACCCUCCAGUCGCUGGAGAUAAACAGGGUCUGCAUCACUUGGCCCAGGUAGAGGUAACUCUGCAAUGACUGGGAAGCACAGAGGACCAAGGUGACAGUGAGGACUUGGAAGAGGAGUUGUCUUGAAAAUGUGACAUAGCCCCUGGAGAAGAUCUGGGGAGACAUGGCCUUGGGCUGCCAGUCCAGAGAAGGGGCAGUUAUCUUGUGUGACUGCAGGAGGAGAUGCAAGUAUCCACGAGGUGAUCCUGCCCCAGAGAACCGAAAAUGUAUUGGGGGGGGACAUUCUGUCCCUGAAGGCAGGAUGAUUGGGCCUCGGCCAAUAUUGACAGUGGUGAUAAUUGUGAGAUUCUAGGAGUGAGAGUGUGUGUGUGUGUGUGUGUGUGUGUGUGUGUGUAUGUGUGUCCCUCCUUGACUUAAUGCUAGAAGAAGCUGAGCCCUGGUGGUCACUUUGUCUUGACCUCUCCCAUGCCUUCACCUGCUGAGGUUCAUCCCCUAUGUCCUCAAGUGCAGCAA